AGCGAACGCUGGCGGCAGGCCUAACACAUGCAAGUCGAACGGACCCUUCGGGGUUAGUGGCGGACGGGUGAGUAACACGUGGGAACGUGCCUUUAGGUUCGGAAUAGCUCCUGGAAACGGGUGGUAAUGCCGAAUGUGCCCUUCGGGGGAAAGAUUUAUCGCCUUUAGAGCGGCCCGCGUCUGAUUAGCUAGUUGGUGAGGGAAAGGCUCACCCAGGCGACGAUCAGUAUCUGGUCUGAGAGGAUGACCAGCCACAUUGGGACUGAGACACGGCCGAAACUCUUACGGGAGGCAGCAGUGGGUAAUCUUGCGCAAUGGGCGAAAGCCUGACGCAGCCAUGCCGCGUGAAUGAUGAAGGUCUUAGGAUUGUAAAAUUCUUUCACCGGGGACGAUAAUGACGGUACCCGGAGAAGAAGCCCCGGCUAACUUCGUGCCAGCCGCCGCUGUAACAC
rnacentral:rRNA from 1 species